rnacentral:rRNA from 1 species
GACGAAGGAUGCAAGCGUUAUCCGGAUUCAUUGGGUUUAAAGGGUGCGUAGGUGGGUCUGUAAGUCAGUGGUGAAAUCUCCGAGCUUAACUCGGAAACUGCCAUUGAUACUAUAGGUCUUGAAUUAUCUGGAGGUGAGCGGAAUAUGUCAUGUAGCGGUGAAAUGCUUAGAUAUGACAUAGAACACCAAUUGCGAAGGCAGCUCACUACGGAUAUAUUGACACUGAGGCACGAAAGCGUGGGGAUCAAACAGG